ACUCACAAUCGGAAUUUUCUAGAAUAAAUUGAUCACCUCAAUAACUUAAAUUAUUUUAUAAAUUUAUAUUGCAUAAAAUUGGCUAUUCAAAAUGAUAUUAAUGCUGCCCUUCUUUAUGUCUGAUAUUUGGGGUGACCAUAUUGAACGUAAGGCGGAUGUGACCAGGUGAAAGUUGGAGGUAUAUUUCUGCAGAAUAAAUAAAUUCAUCUUUCGGUCACACUGAGUUAAGACUAAGUUUUGUGAAUUUUUGUAAACAAACACUUUUUAAAUGAAAUGGGUGGAACUCGUUGUGUUUUUCGUGACUGCCAAGUGUCAACGCAGCGUAAUCCAAAAAUGCACUUCUUUAAACUGCCUGUUCGGGACCCAGUGCGUCUGGAGGCAUGGCUAAAAAACUGCGGAAAUACAGAUAUUUUAAAUGUGGCACGCGAGAAACUCUCAAAUCGCGCGGUUUGCGCGCGUCAUUUUCGCUACGAAUGCUUCAUGAACUACAAGUUGGAUAGGCUGAUACCAAAUCAAACGCCGACACUGGCUCGUAUAAGCAAGGAGCUAGCAUGGGAUCUGGGACAUCUCGACGAGAAUGGUGAAGCAACAAUGGUCAAGUUAACUACUCCCACACUGGUGCACUUAAUACCUCCCGAGAAUUUCGAGUGUCCACUCGGGUUUUCGGAGGAUGGACGCUUUGGCCGUAAAUAUGCAGUGAGAAGUCGCACACCGCCACGUCCCUUAGCAAUCGAUGAAAUCAAAAGACAAAAAAUCACUCCUGUGCAGGAGCAGCAACCAAUUAGCAGAAUUGAAAUGCCGCAAGUGAUUGAUUUGUGUGCCGAAGACAAUGUGACGACACCAAAAUUAGCCAAACUCGAGACCGAGGAUAGCAAACCAGCAUUCGCUGCUCUUCAACAGGACCGCAAUCUCGCAGAGCUCCAGAAAAAGUACGAUGAGCUGCAGGCAAGCUUUGAUUUGAUCACAGCUCAAAAUGCAUCCUUAAAGGCGACUGUAUCUAAGCUGGAGACUCAACCAAAACAGAACCCGCCAUUGAGUGCUGCCACACCGACGCAGUUAUCCAAACCGCAGCUAUACAAUGGCAUCAAAAAGUAUCUAGGGCCAAGCAUGGCGGCUCUGGUGCGCAUGGAGAUGUUUGGCGACGGGGAGCGUGCAUGGAAAGAGGACGAACGUGAGUUCGCCAAGGAGUUGCUGCAACUUGGGGAGCAUGUCUACACGCAUUGCUGCGAUGAGUGGCGUUUUCGGUUACCCUCGCUACGAACGACGCGCUCUUGGCUAGAAGAUCAGGCGAAGCACGAAGCGGAUAACGAGGAGGCCGAGGAUCUUUAAAUCUAAGUGACAAAUGUGGAGCGAAUGUGAAUACAAAAAUAGUUCUGGAGCAGACUUAUCUAUAUUUAUGCAAAUAAAUAUAAUAAACUUUCGACACUUUCGGCAGCAAUGCCAAACGUGCAGAACCUUGAUUUAUGUAUUUACCCAUUCCCAAAUCUUUAUUAUUAUAAUCCACUCACAAGGUGACUGUGUGUAUAAAUCAUAAUUGCUACAUUAUUAAAAUGCGAUUCACUUAAUCAAAUUCUGUCAUUAUUCUUCUGACAUCUUAACGAAGCAGACACAUCAAACCAAGAUGAACGCGAUAAAGUCGUUGCUAACCUUGGUAAUAUUCAUAGCUGUCCUUGAAAUAGGCAACUGCGCUGAUGAUGAUAGUUGUAGCGAUUGCUCACUUACCGGCCUUGUCUAUGCUUGCGUGGAUGAGUUCACUUAUGGAGUCUGCUAUGGCACGGGUGUCGUUGAUCCCGAUUCUACAAUGGCAUGUCCUGAUGGCUAUUAUUGUAGUAUAGAGAAUGGGGUCUUCUGUUCACCCCAAGAAGUCUCCUCUCCAUCUUGUGUACCAAAAGUAAAUCCCGAUCAGUAUUGUACGGAUCUCAAUAAAACAGGUUAUUUCCGCGUGGAGAGUGAUACAACUUGCAAAG